CCUACGGGUGGCAGCAGUGAGGAAUAUUGGUCAAUGGCCGCAAGGCUGAACCAGCCAUGCCGCGUGCAGGUCAGUGCCCUACGGGCUUUAAACUUCUUUUGUGCGGGAGCAAUAAUGGUCACGUGUGGCCAUUCCAGAGUACCGUUCCCAUAAGCAUCGGCUAAAUCCGUGCCAGCAGCCGCGGUAAUACGGGAGGUGCAAGCGUUAUCCGGAUUUAUUGGGUUUAAGCGUAGCGUAGAUGGGUUGUUAAGUCAGUUUCGAAAGUUUGCGGCUCAACCGCAAAAUUGCAAGUGAUACUGGCAGUCUAGAGUACAGUUGAGGUAGGCGGAAUUCGAGGUGUAGCGGUGAAAUGCGUAGAGAUCACGAAGAACACCGAUGGCGAAGGCAGCUUACUAAACUGAGACUGACAUUGAUGCUCGAAAGUGUGGGUAGCAAACAGGAUUAGAUACCCCAGUAGUC
rnacentral:rRNA from 1 species